GAUGAACGCUGGCGGCGUGCUUAACACAUGCAAGUCGAACGGUGAAGCAGAGCUUGCUCUGUGGAUCAGUGGCGAACGGGUGAGUAACACGUGAGCAACCUGCCCCUGACUCUGGGAUAAGCGCUGGAAACGGCGUCUAAUACUGGAUAUGAGCUGCGACCGCAUGGUCAGCAGUUGGAAAGAUUUUUCGGUCUGGGAUGGGCUCACGGUCUAUCAGCCUGUUGGUGAGGUAAUGGCUCACCAAGGCGUCGACGGGUAGCCGGCCUGAGAGGGUGACCGGCCACACUGGGACUGAGACACGGCCCAGACUCCUACGGGAGGCAGCAGUGGGGAAUAUUGCACAAUGGGCGAAAGCCUGAUGCAGCAACGCCGCGUGAGGGAUGACGGCCUUCGGGUUGUAAACCUCUUUUAGCAGGGAAGAAGCGAAAGCGACGGUACCUGCAGAAAAAGCGCCGGCUAACUACGUG
rnacentral:rRNA from 1 species